rnacentral:lncRNA from 1 species
GUAAUUUGAAAUGUGAACUUUGGCAAUUCAUCACAAAGUCUUUCAGACCAAAGAAUUUUCAAAGAAGAAACUAAAAUGAGCAAGAUGUUUAACAUUGAGAAGUGCCUAUCACAGUCACCAGAACUAUCAAACAUCGGGAAAUUUGCCUUAAAUGCACCAAGCUCAACUCAUCUCUGGCACAACUCUCCCAACUCUGAGACAGGCAAAUCUGGCCUGCUGCUCUGAGCACAUCCAUGGAAUAUUAUUUAUAUCAUCACAUCCUAAAAUCAGCAGAUUUAUACAGAGGAAGAUUUUUUAUGAAAAUACUUAAAGACUGCAGGUGACAUAGCAAUUAAAACUUGUUGGAUCAGUCAUCCAAGGCUACCCAAAACUUGCCCAAGGGUUAAUGUGACUGCUGUGUUCAACACUCCUCUGCUGGAUAACAUUGAGGAUUUAUAGUAAAUAUCUACAUGUGAGACCUAUUUCUGAGCCUACUUUUGCUUACCCAGCAAUUUGUUGUAUAGAAAUAGUGAUUUUCACCUGGGACAAUUGGGGUCAUCCUGGACAAGCGUCCCCUGGAUCAGGAGAGCACCAGGAGCACCCCAAGACAGAGCUCUUCCAGACAGGAUAAAACAUAGCAUAAAUGGCAAACCAUUGCAUAAAUCUGUUUUGUGCUACCACUGGUGGAGGAACAGAGGUUUUUCCAUAGGAUACAUUGAAAUAACCAGCCAGCCCAUUCACUGCUUCCACUUAAAAUUAAUAGGCAACCUUGCCCUCCCUUAUCUAGGCAGCAAUUAUUUCCUAAUACGGGCAGGGAAGUCAUGCCAAUUUUGCCCUCAGGGCCUCACAAAGCACACAGCCUAAUUCACAUUAUCCAGGAGCAGCCAAGCCAAAAAUUUUUUAGAGGCAGAGAUAUUCUUAUAUCUGCACUCAUUAAGCAAUUUCCUGUGGUAUUUACUGAGUGGCUACAGUCUGCCAGCAUGCCUGGCAGCCAGAACCCUCCCAGCCCCAAGUUUUUAAAGGUGUAUUAUUAUUUAUUAUUAUUAUUAUUAAUGGGGUUUUAGUGACUAACAGUGAUGCCCAAACAGCUGAGAAGUCUGGACAAGAAAGCACAACCUGACUGUUGCCAGACUUAUUCCUGCUGCUGGCCCUGCAGAAGUCUGAUGGAAUCUUCCCCACUAGGAGGGAAAAAAAAAUAAAUAAAAAGAAUUUUAGAAAUCCCCAAUAAAAUUAAUCUGCUAGAAAACAAUGAGAAUGAGUGUCAGACUUAAGCAAACAAGCUUGACUUGUUACUUGCCUGUGUACAAAUCCCAACUAAGCUUUCUGGAUUCCUGCAAUCACCAACCCAACUUAUAUCACACCUUAUCCAUCAUUUCUCUGCAAAUGUUGGAUACAGCCAUACCCUUGCUUGUUAGCUGGGGUGGUAAUAUUUGACUCCAACAUUACCCUCUGGAAAAAUAAGGGGGGAAAAAAGGCAGAAGUUACUUGAAACUUUCAUAUUUUACAGAUUUCUGGCAUUUUAGGUUCUUAUUGCUGUUAAAAAUCAGGGGGUUUUUGCUACUGUAAGGUGUAUACAUGGACAUCUAGUGAGGACUAAAUCUCUCCUGCAAUUAAACAAAGAAUCUGAGAUGGUUAAUUAAACACUCAAACUGCCAAGCAUGCAUUGAUUGUAAGGGAGGAAACAAACAGAUAUCCCAAGAUAAGCACAAGUUGGAUUGAAUUAAAUUUAAGUCAGGCUGGACUUACUUGGUGACAGGCUCUGCAAGGGGACUGAAUUCAUAAAUGCCUCAUGAAAAUGGGAAAAUUUGAGCUGAGCCUGCAAGAUAGCUCCAGUGGACUGGUUUUCACCACUACAAAUUAUCAUAAUUUUCUCCAAUUUCUCUACAAAACAUCUAUUUUCUUUCUCUUUUACAGACUAACAUCAUUACUGUAGCCAGUGUGGUUAUACACCCAAGUUUGCUGCCAGAAGUGGUACAGAGGACACCCUUCAGAUAAGGCUUUAUUUUUUUAUAUUCUAACAGAAAAAAGCAAAAGCAUUUUCUUCACAUUAAGUGGUCUUAAAGAUGGGAUUUGAACUGCUCUGGAAGCAUUUAUCUAAUUGAAUUAUAAUUUGCUUCAUUUACUUGUGGUCUCUUGUGCACUGUGUCCAGUGCACAAAUCAGGCAUUUUGUACAAUUCAAUUACAGAUAUACUCAGGAACCUUUUAAUCUCAUAUUAGGUUUCAUAAUUGAUUCCUGCUGUUAGCAUUCAGUCUCUGGAUUUGGUGAGUCCCUUCAAAUUGUAUUCAAAGUCUAAUGGUGAGUUAUUUCAGAUGUUUAUAAGUUUAAAUAUAUUUAUAUAAUGAAGUGUAAUACAUAGAUUAAGGCAGAUUCUAAGGACCAGAUCAUAAUUACAAAAGUGGGCAUAGUCUCUCCAUAUGUGCAGAGUGGGAAUAUUCAACAGAACAGCAGCAAUUUGUACUUGUGCUUCUUUCCUUGAUAUUUUGGCUUUGAGUUUUCCUUGGAAAAAGAAUGUAUACACACUAUUGAGCUACAAGGCGAAAUAGUAGAGUGUAAUUGGUCCUCUCCUACUAGAAAACAGAAUAUUUGUAUUUUUAGAAACUGAAAAAAACUCACAGUAGUACAUCUGCUAAAAAACCACGUUAAAACUCUUGCCUAAAGUAAUGGAAAACGUAAUGCUCUGCUGAUAGAGCAGCACAGGCAAUGAACUCCUUUAAAAACUAAAACCAGGUGUUACCACUCUGAAUUUUAGGAAGACUAAGCCCUUCCCAUAUUAGUUUACAGGGUCUGAGUGAAUCAUAAGAGUAUUUUUCCAGAGAAUCCCCAUUUCUCCUGUUCUUUGGUCUGCUCAGGCAGCACGGAAGAGCUCACUUCCCACAGAAGCUUGCUCCUUUCCAAAACCAUCUGAAAAUCAGAGAUUGUGUUAAUCAAAAUGUUUUUAUACAAUUAGAACAGCUUCAACAAACAAAAGCAAGGCCAGGGUUUUGAAUUACCCACCAAUUCUUCCAUGGACUUUGCUGAUGGUUUUUUGCAAAAAUCUUCCCUUCCUAUAGAAAAAGAACCUUCUUAUAAAAAAGACUACUUUUAAGUGAUUAAAAUAUCCUAAAUGCAUACCAAAACAUGUGACUAGCUUUGCAGUACCAAAGCUUCCCAGGACUAUUCUCCUAGUCUUCAGGUUAAAGACCCAGCAGAGCAGAUCCAACUUUGCUCAGAUUCCUACCUAAAAUCAUUUUUAUUAAGGUUGGAAAAGUCCUCUAAGAUCACAGAGCCCAACCACAACCCAGUGCUGCCAGAUCCACCACUAAACCAUGUCCCCAUGUGCCACAUCUGUGUCUUUUGAACACCUCCCUGGGCGUGACAGCCCUUUCUGUGAAGAAAUGUUUCCUGAACCUCUCCUGGAAGCCAUUUCCUCCCAUCUCCCUCCAGCCCCUCGAUGUGCUUUUUGCAGCAAGGGGCUCAAAAAUGAACACGGGAUUUAAGGUGCAUCCUAAUCUGCAAAAACCUCACAGGUCUUGAAGUAGUUAUGUUAGUUUUAUGCUUCUGUAAAUCACAGCCAUGUUGCAUCAGACCAAAUGCCAGCAGCCUCCAGGAUCAAUGUCCUGUUCCACCUCGGAGGAUACAAGUCCACCUGUAUCAGUUGCCAUCUUUCCACAAGCUGAACACCUGGAGACAUUUAUCCCUCUCUGCUUAUUCUCUCAUCCUAAUCUCCUGCAAAAAUGCAAUAAUCAGAAUAAUUCUGAAUAAUAAAGUUCAUAACUUGAAGUAAGUGGUGACCAUUACACACUGCCCCACCCCAGUGACACUAAUCUUCUUUGCAAACAGACCAGGAAACCAAGAUGGGGCUGUGGGGAAAACAGGCAGAGACACAGAACAUGGGGUUUGACAAAAGCAGAGACUUCUGUACAGCAAGUAUCCACUUCAAAGCCCAAAUUCAGUAGAAUAGCUGGUACUCCUUUUUCCAUUUGUUUUGUUUUAAUGGUUCAUGCAUGCAGUUUCAUGAAGCAGCAUCCAGUUUUUCCCUGAAGGCUCUUUUAAAAACAAGCCAGUGAGAAGGAAAGCUCUGAACAGCUACCUAAAGUGAACCUCCAGAGUCAUCAUAAGCACCAGACUAAGUUUUUCCCUCUAUAUACUGGGGUGGGACCCCAGUAAGACAAAAUCUUUCCACCUUCCACACCAUGUGUUGCGUGUUUAAAAGAAAAAACAAAAAAAAGUAGUCUAUGUUUUCAACACAUGAAAUUCAUAAUCAGACCACAUGAAACAAUUAUAAAUACUCCUUCAGCCUAAACACACUUAAACAAUGCUUUUCACAAGAGAAUUAAACUGCUGUGGCUUAUCACAAUAUAAACCCCAGUAGCUCUGUGGGGGUCCACAGACCUGCAGCAGUUUGUGAUAUGCAAAAAAAGGGGGGAAAAGCCCCUCCAGUAUGGGGGGCUGAACAGCUGGACAUGUGCAAGCACAACUGGGAACCUAAUGGCUGACCUUGUGUUCUCCUGCAGGCGUUUGAGGACGUCCAAACACAAAUGAUGGAUUUCACAAGGCAGACUGCUAAAUGUCACAUCCUUGGACAGCCAGGCUCAGCCUGACAAACCAAUACCCCGGCCCAGGGAGGCACAGGGUGGGGCUGGCUGGAGGGGCCACAUCCACUGUGGAUUUAUCGGUUUGCAUUGCUCAAUAGCUCUCAGAGGGUAGAGGAUAGAAGGCAGCACUGUGCCCCCUCUGCCGAGGCCAGCACAGCUGCAGAUGGGGGCUGGACCCAGCUUUGGGCCCCCAAAUCAAGGGCGAUGUUGAUCAAACCCUUCUGCACAAGAGCCCUUCACCAGCCCCUUCCCACCGAUGCUGCUACAAUCCAAUGUUCUCUUUGGAAGAAAGGACAGCAGGGCAAAAGUAAACCAAGAUUUUUCCUGGGCUGACAAAGCAUUUGCACUUUUCUCACCAGACUCAUUUCAGGCUCUUCCAAGGCUCCUGCCCUGCAGCCAGCAUGCAGCUCCUUGAGGAGGGGUGGGUCUGCUCUGAGAUUUUAUUGCCAUAAAGCGAUUGUUCACUUUUGAAGUGUUUUUUGUAACUCUAAUUACAACUACCAGAGCUUUAACCAAACCAAUAAAAGAACAUUUUACAGCACUUCGGGGAUGCUCAUCGCUCUGCCCAAGCGCGACAAUCUGGUGGUGCAGCUGUUACCACAGCAGUUCACACUGCUGCAAUCUCAUUCACGAUAGUCUCCUGUGGCUCAUUUGGGAGAAUUUAUUCUAAAUAUUGACUUUGCCAAGCCAGAAUGGGAUUAUUUCUACCCCUGUAUGUCUUGAUUAUGAACAACAUACUCAGUUCUUCAUAUCAGCAAGUCUUUAGAAGUGCAUGAAGAGGAGAUAUUUGAAGCUGAUCUGGGGGCUUUGACUCAAUUUCA